AUUGAACGCUGGCGGCAGGCUUAACACAUGCAAGUCGAACGAGUGGCGGACGGGUGAGUAACGUCUGGGAAACUUCCUGCUGGAGGGGGAUAACUACUGGACACGGUACCUUAUACCGCAUACCAUCAGUUGUUCCCAGAUGUGAUUGGCUUGUUGGUGGGGUAACGGCUAACCAAGGCGACGAUCCCUAGCUGGUCUGAGAGUAUGCCAAGCAAAAAUGGAACUGGGACACGGUCAAGACUCCUACGGGAGCAAGAAGGGGGGAAUAUUGCAGAAGGGGCGCAAGCCUGAUGAAGCAAUGCCGGGUGUAUGAAGAAGGCCUUCGGGUUGUAAAGUACUUUAAGCGGGGAGGCGUUACCCGCAGAAGAAGCACCGGCUAACUCCGUGCCAGCAGCCGCGGUAAUUC
rnacentral:rRNA from 1 species